UUGUUCAAAUGAUAAUUACGUUGUGUUCGAUUGAUGUCCUGCUAGCUGCUACUACUAAUUUUUACUGCCAUGAUGUUGAUACUUCUUAGAAUAUGUUCAGUGCCUUAAUUCUAGUAGUAUUUGUUAUCGAAAACAUGAUUGUAUUGUGAGCCAUCAAGCUCUUGGAGUCUUCUUAGAGCUUGCUGGUAUUUACAUUUUUCCACCAAUAUAAUAUUUGCUACUAUUUACUCCUCAUGGUUGCUACUGUUAUCCAUGCCCUCAUGCUUCAGGAUCGACUCCUAGCUGCUUGUGUAUCUAUUUAUUAUUCUGUUAAUUAUUCUUUUCCUAGCUGUUCUCUGUUGGAAGGUAUUGCUUUCAUUUUGAAUUGGCGGCCAUGAUAACGGUCAUUUUCAUUCUUCUACAAGAGCUCUAGGUUGAAGAAGUUAAAAGAAGGGAACGCUUCAUCUUUGAUAUGGAAGGUAAAUGCCAUUUCAGAAUCACUGCUGUAAUUUUCAUUUUUCAAGAAGAAUUGGUUGAUCUGCAUGGCAAAUGCAUGAUGAUUAGGAAUAUGAUCAUGUCUCCUGUAGAAUUGGAUUUCUCUGGCCGUUCCGUAAACUAAAUUUGGUUCAGUUAAAAAACUGCACUACCUGACAGUUUUGGGAAGCGAGCUUCUAGCUGAAAAACGAGUUUGUUAUGCUCAUAAUUUCAAGUUGGCCUCUACAUAUGAGUUGUAAAGCAUGCUCUAAGUUUUCCGUAGAGUACUCAUUUGCUUCGUUUGGAUGUAUGGUUUGAGAGCAGCCGUCUAUUUAGUUUGCUGUCCAGAAAUAUAGUACAGUUUAAUGUCGGUGGUGGUCUUGUCUUAGAUAGAUUCUGUAGUGUAUUAAUCUCACUGGGUAGAGUGGCCUACUUGCACACUUUUAUUGACUCGUUGGUUACUGAUUACUUUUGAGCGAGUAGCACAUGUCUCAAGCAACUGUAGUAUUCCUUUCCCUGAAUUGCUCCCUUGUUUUGCUGUGGUCGUAUGCUCCGUGGUCAAUGAUGCGUGUUGUAUACAUAUUAAAACCAAAAUUGGAGUUGUUUUAGUUGUGCAUAUUAGAACUGAAUUAUGCUCUGUUUUGCUGUAGUUGUAUGCUCUUAUUGCUAAAUUGUUUAGUGGGUUGUUCAAACUAAACUCGUCUAGUUAGCUUGCUAUGAUGUAUUGUAUAUUAUUGUACUUUAGACGUCUUGUAGAAUUUGGUGUGGCAAUACAUCUGAAGUACAGUAAUAUACAAUACAUCAUAGUACAGUAAUAUACAAUAUCUUGCUAUGAAAGAUUUUAGAAUUCUUUUAGUUGCUGCUUCUCAUGUAUACAUCAGCUGUUGUGAUUACAUCUUCAUUACAUUAUAGACAUCUGCAUUUCUGUGAAAUUUUGUUAAAUAUAUAUUUUCUAGAUUGUCUAUACACUAAACCUGGAGGUUUGAAUAUCUACUCCAGGAAUGAAGAUGGUACUCUAAUGCCUUUGUGUUCACCCUUUUACAGGAGCUCCAGGCCUAGGAAAUUUCAAGUUCGAAGUGGCGUGUAGCCCUAGCAGCAAAGAUUUGUUCUGUUUGACUGUAAUAAACUGUAAAUAUUAUAGUACUGUAAUAGUAGGCAUAUCUGGGUUGUAAUAGACUAUGCAUAGAUUGUAAUAGACUAUGUAUAGUAGCUCCAGGCCUAAGAAAUCUACAUUUUUUCUGUUCUAUUUAAAAUAUGGAUUAUUUGUGUGAUUUGAAGACGUGUGAAAUGGAAACCUGAUUAGUGGGCCCAUUUGUAAAAAUAAUCUAAACAAUGCUCACAUUUUUGACAUGUGGGACCAAUAUAGG
rnacentral:lncRNA from 1 species